rnacentral:ncRNA from 2 species
CUCGCGACCGCCCUGGGCGGUCACUGGCGAGUCACGGACUCGUUCCGCCAGCGGCCAAUCCACCCCGAGUCCGAAACAGAAGACGUCCCUGGGAUGAAAGACCCAGGCCUGGGGCUUAAGGUCGCCCAGCUCCGGCGCUGACGGGUGUGGACCGCGGACGUCGCUGGGACAGCCCCUCCCCGCUGCUCGGCGGCGGCACCUGGCCCGGCCGCUCCUCGCUGCGCUUCGCCUCCGCCUCCUCGGACUCGGACUCGGGUUUAUAUCGCGCCUCACUUCAUCCCAGUCCCGGGCGAGCAGCGUUGGGUUUAUGUCUUUAUUUGACGAAAACGAGCUGUUGCGCAGCCAUUGGUACCUGUAUUGGGGAAACAUAGCAUACAAGCAAGAAGCUUACAGCCUCAGUGGCGAAAAUUUUUUCAUGUCAGAGACCGAGAACUCUUGCAGUCGUUUAUGUCAUCCCUUCUUCUCCAGACAGAAGAUACCAAAAAGUUGCAAUCAAAGAUCUCUUCAUCUUAUUGAUAAAG